AAACUCCAGAUUUUAUCUUCUCAAAUAAAAUUGAUAUGACUGGAGAUGGAAAACAGGGUUAGAGUACAUUCGGUGAGCCAGCUCCAUAUCCUCCUCAGGGUCAGAAGUCCAUUAUCAAACUCUGCUUCCAUUGGCUGACCAUGCACACAUGAGCACACUCCCACCUAGAACAUGAUAAACUAACCAUGAACAUGACCUUCUAUAAAGUUUGCACUGUAGAACGAAGUCAAAUACUCUGUAAAUUACUGCAACAAGAACAACUGAUAAGAGAAGCAUCUCCUUGUUGAAGAGUGAAUGCUUUUUUGAGUUAAGUCAGGGUCGCUGAAUGAAGUGUCAAGUGAGAUUAUGACAAAUGAAUGUUGCAAUUCAUAAGGCAGACAUUACACAGGAGGAAUAAAUAUAGUAUCUUAGUCCCAAAGAUGAGCAUUAGGGGACAGAAGGCAGAACUUGGUGAAACCUCAUGGUUUUGCAUUGUCAACAUUCUAGUUAGCAUCUAUGUUAGUCAUUACCAACAGAGGGAGAAAAAGAGACAGAUGGUACUCAGCGAAAGGUCAAGCGGAUGGAAAAUUUGCCCAUUUCAUUUUUCCCCCUUAACGAAUUGAAAGGUCACUGCCACCUUAUCUCUGAGAGGAUAACAAAAGCUGCAGGAGCAGAAGGGUCGAUUCACACCAGCUUAUGGAAACCCUGCAUGCUCCACCCUCACCUGUCCAUGCUACUCCACCUAUUCUCUCCUUCACUCGCCUUCUUCCAUCUGGUCCAACAACAGGGUGGUAUGUGAUAAUUAUGGAAAGUCACAGGAGGAAAAAUCAACAGUGGCUGGAUAAGUCCUAUCAGUUAUUUGCAUUGCUAAGAGGCUGGCAUGGCAUAACGUGUUCCUGGUCCUUCAGACAUCAAGUCCCUGGCAAUGAUUAACCACAGAGGAACCAAACAGGACUUGGCUAUGAUCUGGGAUGUUUUAUUCACAGACAUUUAAAACCAUGAUAUUAGGCAAUACAACAUCAGAGCAUUUCAAAAUAGUUUGAUAGGAAACAAACAGAGUAGAAUAACUACAUGUUUUUAGAAAUGUAGGUGCUGGUUUCUAACAGUUGGCUAUAUAUUUUUAGUAUCACAUUAUAUACAACAUUUCGGCAGCUAUUAAUGAAUUAGUGGUAAGAAGUACUUAAUUUUAAUUGAACUUCUUGGGUUAUUUGUUUGUCUAUUUGUUUAUUUAACCAUACAAUAAUCUGGUAGUACCAAAAGAUAUCAAGUACAUGAUUCCUGGGUGAUUUAGUAUUUAAUUUCAGUGAUUACUAAAAUGUUACCAUUGCUACUAUUUUCAUUUGGCAUCCCACACUUGGUUUCAUGAGCAGAGAAAUAGCACCAGCAGCAAUAUAAGUAUUGAAGAAAGGCUGAAACAUGGCAACAGUGUGUCCUCAAGGCCAUCACUUCUGAAGCCGUGUGGUGAAGACUUCGUGACUGACUGGCAUCCUCUGAUGUCAGCACAGAGCACAACUAAUGCUGACAUUAGUAUGCAUAGCAGCGGGGAGGUGAUGUCGACGUGGGAACAUUGCGGAGGAUCAUUUUUCUCUUAGCAGAGCCUUCCCAGAGCCAUGGACUACCAGGGCAGAUCUGUAUCUAAUCACCUAAUAAGCAUUGUAGCUCUUCCCUGGAACGAAGAGGCCCAAACAUGUUCCAGCAUGACAAAGUGCCUGUGCACAAAGCCGAGCUCCUUGAAGACAUGGUUUGCCAAGUUUGGUGUGGAAGAACCUGAGUAGCCUGUACAGAGCCCUGGCCUCAACCCCACUGAACAUCUCUGAACAUCAACUUUGCAUCAGACCUUCUUGCCAAAAAUCAGUGCACGACCUCACUAAUGCUCUUGUGGCUGAAUGGGCACAAAGUCCCACACUCCAAAAUCUGGUGGAAAGCCUUUCCAGAAGAGUGGAACCUGUUAUAGCAGCAAAGGGGGGACCGAAACCAUAUUAAUGCCUAUGGUUUUGGAAUGGAAUGUUCAAAGGUCAACCAUCUACAUACCUUUGGACUUGUAGUGUAACUAUAAAUGGAUACAAAGUUUGACAUGAUGUUGUUUUAGUAAUAAAAAAAUGUAAUUGUUGGCAAAUUGUUGUGGCAUAAGACAAAUAAACACUUCAGGACA